rnacentral:misc_RNA from 1 species
CCUCCUGUAGGCAGGGGUGAAAGUUUCAUUACAAGGGCCAUGUGGAGAAAUAUAUUUGGCCAGAGUAUUUAUCAAUUGGCUGUACUUGCAGUUCUCAAUUUUGAUGGGCAGCUCCUAUUAGGACUUAAUGGUUCAGAUGCCACUAAAGUUGUCAAUACUUUGAUAUUCAACUCUUUUGUUUUUUGCCAGGUCUUUAAUGAAAUAAACAGCCGCGACGUAGAGAAGAUAAAUGUAUUCCGGGGCAUGUUCAACAGCUCGGUAUUUGUAGUUGUUAUUGUUUCAACAGUAACAUUCCAAGUCAUCAUAGUGGAGUUCUUGGGAACUUUUGCGGGCACUGUGCCAAUAAGCUGGCAACUGUGGCUUCUCAGCGUCUUAAUCGGCGCAGUUAGCAUGCCAGUCGCAGUUGUCCUGAAGUGCAUACCUGUUCAAAUGGGCACAGCAAAACACCAUGAUGGUUACGAUGCUCUCCCUUCUGGUCCUGAGCUAGCUUGAAAGCAGNNNNNNNCCAGAAAGUUUUGAAACUGUAGAAAUAGCCUUGCCGCAAGGCAUGAAGAGACUUGUUUUUAAACUUUUCCCAAAGCUCACGAUGCUGACUCCUUGUGCACCAGUACAUAUUUGUUUCAAAUACCAAAAAAGCCACAACCCUUUAGCGGAUUGUCCAUUUUAAACAAAUCUUUUAAUUUUUUCAAUUUUAUUCCCUAUGCGGCGAAU